CAGUCGCCACGGUAAUACGUAGGUGGCAAGCGUUGUCCGGAAUUAUUGGGCGUAAAGGGCUCGCAGGCGGUUUCUUAAGUCUGAUGUGAAAGACCGGGGCUCAACUUCGGGGUUGCAUUUGAAACUGUCCGGCUAGAGUGUCGGAGAGGUAAGCGGAAUUCCUAGUGUAGUGGUGAAAUGCGUAGAUAUUAGGAGAAACAUCGGUGGCGAAGGCGGCUUACUGGACGAUAACUGACGCUGAGGCUCGAAAGCGUGGGGAGCAAACGGGAUUAGAUACCCCCGUAGUCCCUGUCUCUUAUAC
rnacentral:rRNA from 1 species